rnacentral:tRNA from 1 species
GGUGGCUCAUUGGUAGAGUACUUGCCUUGCAUGCAUGAGGUCCUGGGUUUGAUUCCUCAGCACCA